UUUCCGUCAGCGCUAGAGAGGCAAUCGGGUGUCUCGCAAAACAGCUACCCCAUGUUGUCUUACUGCUGUCACUUUUACUUGGGGUGCUUAUCUCUGUCUGUCUGUUUGUAGUCAGUUUUGAGGGUUCCUCCUGUUUUUGCGCAAAGGCGUGAAAGAAAGGAACGACUAGAGUCCCUCCUAUUUUCCAUAACUUAAUCGACGCUUUCCAUGGCGUCAACGUCGUUGCUUGUUUUUCGACAAAUAUUGAGCCCAAUCCGUCCUAGCCGUUCGCUGACGGCAAAGGAUUUUGGUGUCACCCAAAGCAUAGCUGGGUUCCACACGGCCCUAGCUCUUCAGAUUUGCCGUGGCUCGCAGACACUCGCGGCACUCCGCGGUGCUGGCUAGCUAACGGAAGCAAUUCUCAAACCUUGCCUGCCGUACCCAUUUCCCCCGUAUCCCCGCCGACAGCCCUGAAGCUCUUUGACCAUCCUAACCCUCCUUACUCUGAAAGCCCUCAAGACUUUCUUGACUUUCAUUUUACUGGCUCUCUCACUUUUGUCACCCGUUCUCGCCCUCAUCUUAGCCGCUGCCUGUCCCCUCUCCGCCUUGCCUUCAUCCAGCAACCCUUCAAAGAUAAAGAGAGCUUUAAGGUGAGAGUACGUAGAAAAGGCAACGUGAUGCAUUCAACAAAAAAGACCGACUCACAUAGCAAGGCAAUGUGAGUGAUAGCUGCGACAAGGAGGAAGUUACUACUGAGCCUCAAAACUGAAACGACCUUCUUGCGUCAGUAACCGCCGGCCCCGCUUCAGGGACCACUACCGAUAGUGGUGGUUAUGCGCUAGGUCCACUGACCCCAGCUAGUUCCCUUGACAGUGGUUUGCCUCCUUCGUGAGUAGGGAGUCCCAUUUCGCCCUCAACUUCUCCCUAACCCUCUUUUUCUCCUCUUACUUGGGGUUGCCGCGCUAAUCAUCAGCAGUCUCAUCAUUCUUUCACUCUGUUCCUUCGUUCUGCUGGGCAAGAGCCCUUCGUUUCGUUUUGCAAAAGCCGACGUGAAGCAAGCAAACGGGCGGGCCGAUGAGCUUUGCCGAUCCCUCGCUUUCAUUGCUUUCGUGCUGUUUCUCUCUUCGGUGCCCUUCUAACUUUCUAGUGAACCGUGGUUUGGAUUUGCAAAAGUAAGGAGCCCUAUAUAACUCCGCAUGUGCGUUAGGAUGAUUAAUUCUUGCAGUCCUGACGGAGCAAAUGCUGCCGACAAGCUUCUCUGCAGCAGCUUAUCAGGGGGCCAUCCUUUCUUUCUGCCGAUUCCGUGUGAUUCGGUGUGGGCGCCUGUGAUCUGUGGUUUGCCCAUAUAUGUACGACGGAAGACACACGCUGAGGACCUGCUUCCGUUUGCUAAGAAGUCCGUUGUCACUAGAGUUCGUCGAGUCCCAAUGGAAUUGCAAUGAAUCGCAGCUUUAGAUGGGUGUGUAUGUUUGUGGCUGGAUGACUCUCUUACUAAGUGUGCGUAACGUCGCAGUAUUACAAUGGCAAACAGGAAAGUUGCUACUCCGGCCCCUUUUACUUUGCACCUAUUGCCAGCGAAAAUCAGCGUUGGACUAACCCCCCAGUCGAGGGGUGACGACAAGUGAAUCAGAAGACGCCAUCACACAGAUAGACCACUUCGGACUCCUUUCUUCCUGUCAGAGCGCGCUAUCCAUACAAAGGUCAAUUGCAUGGAGAGAAUGAACACGAUAGGAUCUCUACGUGACUAAUGGUCUCUUCCUGUGUUAAUAUUAUAGUAGGGCCUACUGCUGAAACCCCCUAGCGUCGCAGUUGCUGCGACUGUGAGGACUACUGAGAGUGGUUUGUUACUGAGAGCCGUUCUAACGCAGAAAUAAACGGAAGCCUGCCCACUAAAGGGGGUACAAGUACGGAACGAUGGGGUGAAACCGGAUGUGAUAAUGGCAGUAGUGUUAGAGCUGCAAAUGUCAAAAUCGAGUGACGCCCUGGUACCGCCGCAAACUAUCCCACGCGCUGACCGGCUGACUCGAGGGAAGAAAGAAUUCGUUGUUAACUGAGACAAUGAUUCAACAGGACCAAGGAUCUGCUCGUUGUGUCCAUUACUUCUGUGAUAUACAGACGGUGCCAUUAUCACGAACGUCCGCUACCUUUUGCAUCUUCUCUACGCAUAGCUAUCACAAGCCAUCCAACUUCUCAGAACAUGUUUCUCACGUCAGAACAGCAUUUGCUCCAACCCCGCAGCCUGCUGACGCUAUUUCGAAAACCAGUUCCUGCGGCUGCUAUGAAGUUAGUGGUUUCCCCGUCGCUCGCUCGCUCCUCGUUGCUUCGCAACGGCCUUCACCUUGGGGCGAACCACAUCCUCAUUGGAUGAGGCUCGAAGCCCAAAGAAUUGAUUUCCCACGUGAGAACAAACCAUUGCGCUUCAACCGCUAACGCUGUGGGAGCCUUCACUGCAUUCCGUAGGUCGAUAACAGCUUCUCUGGUGACCUGACCAACUUGGCGAGCACAUUCCUCGUUUGACCGUGUCCUGCUGUUUCAUUAACCCGCAGUGCCCACUUUUGGCCGCAUGCCAUCAUUGCUUCAAAUAUCGCCACUUCCAAUGGCUCAGAGGAAACACACGCUGGAAAUAACUGCUGUACUAGAAAAAUGUUUUACGGGGAAAUAGUGUAUAUAGGAAAAACCAGUUCGAAAAGAGCGCCUAAGAUCAAAAAGAGAUGUGUGGAGUUAUAUUAGGUUAGGUAAUCUGGUGACGAAUAUCACUAUAUAUAUAUAUAUAUAUAUAUAGAAGCGCUGAGAGGUGCAGCACUGUGCUAUAAAAUCUUUAGUUCGUGUUUUUCUAUCGGUAGCUUAAAAUGACGAUAUUCGGGAAAAUUGUGGACCUCGAUAGAGUAGCGAUGUAGAGGCGGUAAGACGCGCGAAGGGGAAUAACAGCCCAGGUGUCCCAGUUUCCGACGUUUCAGAUUUUUGGGCGAAGAAUUGGACCAAGCAAUUUUUGCAUCUCUUCAUGGAAGUCACAUAACACCACUAGGGCGGUCCUGCAAAGACCGAAACAGGCUGUAGGUGGCGGUGUUGCUAAUGGGCGUAACAGACGCCGAUGGCGACAGCAAAGAAAAGUCGCGGCCGUAAAUUAUAAUGCACGAGGGACCGCUUACGAAUCGGAAGUCGUUACUUCAGGAAGACUGCACAACCUGACCGGAUAGGCCGUCAGCCCGAACUCAGCGUAUCAUAUACAAGGGCGUCUACGUACGUUUCUACGUACUUGUUGGAACAAUGCUCGUACUGUGCCGAGCAGCAUAGCUUUCCUCAAUAUACACCGAUACAUAUGAAAUAGCUAAGACGUGAACAAAAUAAAUGUUCUGUUCGUGUUACGGGUAUCAUGUAAUGGUUCGCGGCCUCGCACAUAUCAACCCAACAAAGCUGAUAGUUAAAGAGAUACGAAGGCAUAUGCAUUAACAUUUAUAAUCAAAUACGGAGAAAGAUAGAAAAAAAAACACGGAUAUCAAUGAAAAAAGCUCUGUUCUAGAAGUGUCAUUACUGACAUAUCCUUAGAUGAAACGACUAACUCGACGGCGACAGAUGGAAAAAUACCGAGUCGUAAGGCUUUUAGUUGCUAUGUAAUCUGUUUGUUUCAAGUAAAUCGCAUACAUCAUAAAGAAAAAAAAAAAAGUAAAAAUGAUGGGUGUGUUUACGGUGAGCUAAGGAAAUGCAAGAUUGACCUAAUAUUUGUUCCAAGUAGCCAGCCUUGAAUAAGACGUGUGUAAAGAUGCCCCAGAAUUAAGCAUAGGUUUCCUCCACAGGGCACAAAUCUGCA